rnacentral:rRNA from 1 species
GGCUGCAGUGGGGAAUAUUGGACAAUGGGCGCAAGCCUGAUCCAGCCAUGCCGCGUGAGUGAUGAAGGCCCUAGGGUUGUAAAGCUCUUUUGUGCGGGAAGAUAAUGACGGUACCGCAAGAAUAAGCCCCGGCUAACUUCGUGCCAGCAGCCGCGGUAAUACGAAGGGGGCUAGCGUUGCUCGGAAUCACUGGGCGUAAAGGGUGCGUAGGCGGGUCUUUAAGUCAGGGGUGAAAUCCUGGAGCUCAACUCCAGAACUGCCUUUGAUACUGAGGAUCUUGAGUUCGGGAGAGGUGAGUGGAACUGCGAGUGUAGAGGUGAAAUUCGUAGAUAUUCGCAAGAACACCAGUGGCGAAGGCGGCUCACUGGCCCGAUACUGACGCUGAGGCGCGAAAGCGUGGGGAGCAAACAGGAUUAGAUACCCU